AGUGCAGGUUCUUUCCAGACUGUCUUAUUGCACAAUGAACUUGGUCAGUACUCCUUUGCUACAGAAGUUUCAACAUCUCCUUUCCCUCCUAUUAAUGCUGCCAGUGAAGGCUGUGAUAAGGUUGCAACAUCCAAGCAUGGAAACAUAAUAUUUUGACACAGAGGGGAAAAAAAUCCUUUUCCAUUUAGUAAGAAUAUUGACAAUGUUAAGGGCUGGUUGAGGGAAGGUUGGGUACAUCCAGUUUGUAAGAGUACUUUUGGCAGAGGAGACUUUCCCCAUUUUUCAGAAACAUGUUCUUGUGACACCUUAGCUUUCUGGUAAUUUUGUAAGUUUCCAUGUACGAACAAAAACGUCAUAAGAAUUGAUGGCAGAUUUUGUUGCUGGCUGGGAGGUUUCAAGUGAUCUGACCUGUUGGAGCUGUCAUGUACCAACUACAUUGGAAAUGGUGAGGGAGAAGAGAGGAUAUGGCUUCAUUUAGACUUUAUGCCAAACUAUGGUCAAAGGAAAGCUUAGUUACGGUUUGGCAUGAUGCCCCCAAAAUUUCAAAUUGUAGUUUGUCACUAGGUAACAAAGUAGAAUCAGAAACCUUGCUUUGAAGUGGUUUUUCAAACCACCACUUGUGCUAACUGGCAUGAGGCCUGCAUUGCUAAACCAUAGUUUACACCCUUCAUUUCGCCUUCAGAGGGUGCUAUGGCAUAAAUAUGGGAGUGAAUUUAGGAAGCUGAGUAUUGAGAGGAUGGGAAACAAAAGCAAGCCGUCAUUUCUAAAUGUUGCUCAUUUGGAAGCUAAAACUAUGAUUUGGCUUCUGAUCUAGGUUUACCACAAACCAUGCUUUGACAUGCUAGUAGAAUUGAGCCACCGUCCGAACUGUUGUGGAGGAAUCGUCUUCUGGCCAAAAAAAAAAGAAAAAAAGAAAAAGAACUUUCCUCCUGAUGCUAAAAGAAAUUAAAAAGAGAACCAUGUUGAUUGGGAUUCUAAGACCAACAGUUCCCUUGGCUGCACAACAAACUGUCCUACAUUUGAUACAUGUUUUGGGAUUUGCUGAUCUAAAACAGGGAUUGCAAGCCUCAUUGUGAGUCAGAAAUGAAAAUGACCCAGCACUACAGAACUUAUUAUUGCUGUAAUUUGCUGCUGGCACCAACAAAAAAGCCUACUGAGGACACUUUUAAUUAUCAUUAUUUUGGUCAAGAGCCUCCUGAUACCCUGCGUCAGAUCUGUGCCAACAAAAGGAGGAGAUGAUAGCGAUGAAGUAGCCAGCCUAGAAUGAGCUGGUAAACUCUGUGAAAGUUACAAUUGACAAAGAAUUCGAAGCAUAUUCACAGUAUCAUUCAGGUGCAUUAUUUCACUGUGAUUUAAAACAUUUAUUCAAUCAUGUAUAGCAACCCCAGUAAAAUGUCUGUUGAAGUGUUUUGAGAGAAGCCCUGUUGAUCUUUGCAGCGGGAACUUAGUUAAUGAACAGGAUUCAGAAGGAAGGAAAGUUAUGAAACAAAUGUGUUUUCUGGGGAAACAUGUUUUGGUUUAGCAGAAUCUUGGGGAGUUAAUUUACACUUUCAGCUGGAGGACGAUUAAUGUCAUAAAUAAUUAUUUUGAAAACUUCAAACUCUCCUGAUCUGUGGGAGAGAAUUGUUUUUGGUCAGAAUGACCUGCCUCCUGGGAGUGUAUUAAAUUCACCUGCCUUGACUCUGCUGAUUUGACAGGGGCACAGCAAUGCAUGCAAGGGCAUUUAACAUCAAAAAAGGAAAAGAUCUUUUGUGAUAGAAUUCAUGAAAAUAGGAAGCACCAACAGAAGAUUUUCUUCCAAUGUGGCUAUGCAUGGGAUUGGAGUCUCAGCAGGAGGGGAAAGAGUUAAAAGUCCAGGAUCCAGUUCCCUACAUUUUCCACCUAUUUAAUUAAAAAGCUAUUCAGACUAAUUGUGUGAAUGGACUCUUGUC